UAUUAUAUGUGAAACAUAAAUUGUAAAGUCAAGUUUUCCUUGCUCGUGACUAAUACUCGAUUAACUUAUAACUAAGGGCUGCAAAAUAAAUUAAAGCCACCAAGCAUAGCUACAUAUCGUGCUGGGUAAGAUAUUCUUAGCAAACUAGUAAAAUGAAAUUUAUAAAUAAUAAAUGACGGGAAGCUUAACACACGGCGAUUAAUCACAAAAUAAAAUUUAUUGCUUAAUUUCGUACAAUAAAAGUCACUAUUUUUAAUUUCGUUUAUUUGUUUAUACGUCACAAACACGCAAUGCUAUUUAGAGAGUUGCCCACAAGUAGUCAAAAUAUGCUUCGACCACAAUAUAAGUUACGCCUCCACUAUUAUCACCGUGUUAUUCAAUUGUCUUUUUUGUUUCUUCUUUUUGCUUUAAAAAGAGAAAACUAUUUUCAAUAACUUCCAAAUUCCUUCUGGUGGAAAUUGAAAAAGCGACUGAGUUAUUGCAAUAGAAAACAAACAAUUUCUCUCUUGAAAUGCGUUUUUAACAGUUAGCUAACUCAUAUAAAGUUUAAACCAAUCGAAUUUCUGGUACUUCACUAGUAUAAGACGAAUAAAGAGGUUAAACCGCACUGAACGACAAAUCUUUUAUCCAAAAAGAGUUGAAGAACAAAAUUGUAAUGGAUUCUAAAAGCUCGACUUUACUACUAAUAUUUGGUUUUAUUACAUUGGCUUGUACAAGACCUCAUCCGCACUACGAUUUACAAUGUUUGAGCAUAUGUGAAGGUCAAUUCGAACAGUGCGUGCAAGUCGUUGACAAACUUCAGGAAACUUACUUUAUUUGUAUUGUUCAACGUUCUACUUGCGCAAAAGAGUGCGAAUCCAACUUAAAUAAAUAUAAAAACGACGUUUUUUAAAUUUUUUAAAUUGUAAGACUUGAAUACUGUGAA